rnacentral:tRNA from 1 species
GGGCGAUUAGCUCAGCGGUAGAGCACACCCUUCACACGGGUGGGGUCGUAGGUUCAAUCCCUACAUCGCCCACCA